rnacentral:rRNA from 1 species
GGUACCUACAGAAGAAGUCCCGGCAAACUCCGUGCCAGCAGCCGCGGUAAUACGGAGGGGGCAAGCGUUGUUCGGAAUUAUUGGGCGUAAAGGGCAUGUAGGCGGUUUGGUAAGUUAAAGGUGAAAUACCAGGGCUUAACCCUGGGGCUGCUUUUAAUACUGCAGGACUAGAGUCCGGAAGAGGAUAGCGGAAUUCCUAGUGUAGAGGUGAAAUUCGUAGAUAUUAGGAGGAACACCAGUGGCGAAGGCGGCUGUCUGGUCCGGUACUGACGCUGAGGUCCGAAAGCGUGGGAGACAAACAGGAAAAAAAACCCUGGUAGUCCACGCUGUAAACGAUGAGUGCU